AAGCAGCCCACCACACACCCGCGCCGGCCAAGCGGCCGCCUCCCGCCGCACCGCAGCGGCGAUGUAUGCUGGCCCGGCGACCAGCACCGGCGCGGAUGAGGGGCGGCGAAUCUCCGGAGCUGUUCCCGGCUCCGCCUCUCGCAUCCAGGCUAUGUCCGCUUCCGCCGUUCCGCGUCCUUGCUGCUCACGGGUUUGGUGGCGCAAGGGCAGUUCGGAAGCAGUGGCCGAUGGCCGACGGGAAGGGAGGGGGCGAACCUGCGGGACUCGGAGGUUUUUCGGGGAAACGCAAGCUCGACACGAAUAAGCUUCAAGGCCAAGUGUUGGGAAGGACCCGAAUCCACAGUGUUUCCCAGCUGUGUAGAACCACUGGAAGAAUGCCCAAAGGAAGCUAAGUGAGAAGUAUUUGCCCAACGUCCGAACUUGCUUCCUGAAAUAGAAUAUGAUCUUAUCAGUAACAAUGUUUGAUUUUUGAUAAUGACGAGCGACAAGAGUUCAUGUUGCCUACUUUGCACGCUCGGUACCCUGAGGUGCGUGGAAUCCAUUGAUGAGGUAAGCGGUCGCAGUACCACUUGGAGUCGGAAAGGGAAGCAUAUACCUUUCUCAGAGGCACCAGAGCAAAAAGGCCAACGAAACUGACGAGGAACAUAAACCCUAUCAUCCAUCCGAGGUGGGGUUCCUUGAUAUUCUGGGCAUCAUUGGCCUCUGUUACUUUAUUAGCAAUAGUUCCACUCAUACCAAACAGAUAACUGCUAAAUCCACCUGUUGAAUUAGAAUUUGUGAAUCACAACUAUAUGCUAUAAUUAUAUUGUCACGGGUAUCUCACUACGCUAAAGUACCACAAAAUAAAUUGUAGGAAUCAUCAUGCAAUGUCAAAUCUAAAUGUAUUCUGUGUCAGUAACAACAUCCAUAAUCUUAUUCAAAAUACAAGCAUGGCCCAUGACCCAGGGAACAAUGCCUUGCCUACUCAGAACUAAUUUCUAAGAUAUACCCCAUGUUAAUUGAUAUUUCAAGUGGUUUCAUUCGAUUUGUUGUGGAUUGGAUGAUGGAAAAACCGACAAGCAACAAGCAUAGGUUGAGUUGUACAAAGUCAGGAAUCACUUUGGGGGGCUAGCAUAGGUAACACAGGACUGAUAACAGGGGUAGGGGCUGUGGCAAACUGGUUUCCUAUGAUGGACAGGCAGCAAUAUCUUUCACUUUGGACAGGAUGAUUUUAUUUGAGGAGCCUUCACCGGAGAUUGUUUCAAUCAAAAUGGCAACAUGCCAACAGUGCAUGUUAAUAUGUUAUCCGUUAGUGGGCAAGUAUCCGGUGUCAACAGUGAGGAAUGCAAAUUGGGGCUUCUUUUGCUUCAAAAGGGUGGCAUACUGCAGUUGGAUCAAGAACAGUAUGCAAUGCUGGUCAUCUUAAAAUUGGAAGACGAGCCAAGUCCAUCGUGCAAGCAGAUGUUGCUAUAAUACUUAGCAGACAAACUGUACCAACUAUGCAGCUUUUCAUCCACACAGAAGACCUCCACUUCUACCAUAAAUCAUUUUGAAGUACCUGAUCAAUCAAAUAUUUUAACUUUAUUUCAGAAGUUACAUUUGUAGAAGGAAGACUGCAAAUUCCUAAGGCUCCAUUUAUUUAUGCAAGAGAAAAGGGUUCAUGAUGGGUUCCUUAAA